UUCCCUGUGGCUCAGUUGGUAGAGCAUGGUGUUUGCAAUGCCAGCAUGGUGUGUGCAACACCAGGGUUGUGGGUUCGAUUCCCACAGGGGGCA
rnacentral:tRNA from 1 species